AUUGAACGCUGGCGGCAGGCCUAACACAUGCAAGUCGAGCGGAUGAAGGGAGCUUGCUCUCUGAUUCAGCGGCGGACGGGUGAGUAAUGCCUAGGAAUCUGCCUGGUAGUGGGGGACAACGUUUCGAAAGGAACGCUAAUACCGCAUACGUCCUACGGGAGACAGUGGGGGAUCUUCGGACCUCACGCUAUCAGAUGAGCCUAGGUACGAUUAGCUAGUUGGUGAGGUAAAGGCUCACCAAGGCGACGAUCGUUAACUGGUCUGAGAGGAUGAUCAGUCACACUGGAACUGAGACACGGUCCAGACUCCUACGGGAGGCAGCAGUGGGGAAUAUUGGACAAUGGGCGAAAGCCUGAUCCAGCCAUGCCGCGUGUGUGAAGAAGGUCUUCGGAUUGUAAAGCACUUUAAGUUGGGAGGAAGGGCAGUAAGUUAAUACCUUGCUGUUUUGACGUUACCGACAGAAUAAGCACCGGCUAACUUCGUGCCAGCCGCCGCGGUAACAC
rnacentral:rRNA from 1 species